rnacentral:rRNA from 1 species
AUACGGAGGGUGCGAGCGUUAAUCGGAAUUACUGGGCGUAAAGCGCGCGUAGGCGGUUAGAUAAGUCUGAUGUGAAAGCCCUGGGCUCAACCUGGGAAUGGCAUUGGAUACUGUUUAACUAGAGUGCAGGAGAGGAGAGUGGAAUUCUCGGUGUAGCGGUGAAAUGCGUAGAUAUCGGGAGGAACACCAGUGGCGAAGGCGGCUCUCUGGACUGACACUGACGCUGAGGUGCGAAAGCGCGGGUAGCAAACAGGAUUAGAAACCCCGGUAGUCC